rnacentral:rRNA from 1 species
UUAAGCGACUAAGCGUACACGGUGGAUGCCCUGGCAGUCAGAGGCGAUGAAGGGCGUGCUAAUCUGCGAUAAGCGCCGGUAAGGUGAUAUGAACCGUUAUAACCGGCGAUACCCGAAUGGGGAAACCCAGUGUGACUCGUCACACUAUCAUUAACUGAAUCCAUAGGUUAAUGAGGCGAACCGGGGGAACUGAAACAUCUAAGUACCCCGAGGAAAAGAAAUCAACCGAGAUUCCCCCAGUAGCGGCGAGCGAACGGGGAGGAGCCCAGAGCCUGAAUCAGCAUGUGUGUUAGUGGAAGCGUCUGGAAAGGCGCGCGAUACAGGGUGACAGCCCCGUACACAAAAGCGCAUGUGCUGUGAGCUCGAUGAGUAGGGCGGGACACGUGGUAUCCUGUCUGAAUAUGGGGGGACCAUCCUCCAAGGCUAAAUACUCCUGACUGACCGAUAGUGAACCAGUACCGUGAGGGAAAGGCGAAAAGAACCCCGGCGAGGGGAGUGAAAAAGAACCUGAAACCGUGUACGUACAAGCAGUGGGAGCCCCACCACCAAAGCAUUCUCUGGUGUUGAAGGCCCUGCAAAGCAGCAUCGCGGUGGCGGAGCGUCGUUUGCGACGCCCAACACACAAAACAAGCGGUGAGUGCUUUGGGGUGGGGUGACUGCGUACCUUUUGUAUAAUGGGUCAGCGACUUAUAUUCUGUAGCAAGGUUAACCGUAUAGGGGAGCCGCAGGGAAACCGAGUCUUAACCGGGCGUUAAGUUGCAGGGUAUAGACCCGAAACCCGGUGAUCUAGUCAUGGGCAGGUUGAAGGUUGGGUAACACUAACUGGAGGACCGAACCGACUAAUGUUGAAAAAUUAGCGGAUGACCUGUGGCUGGGGGUGAAAGGCCAAUCAAACCGGGAGAUAGCUGGUUCUCCCCGAAAGCUAUUUAGGUAGCGCCUCGUGAAUUCAUCUCCGGGGGUAGAGCACUGUUUCGGCUAGGGGGCCAUCCCGGCUUACCAACCCGAUGCAAACUGCGAAUACCGGAGAAUGUUAUCACGGGAGACACACGGCGGGUGCUAACGUCCGUCGUGAAGAGGGAAACAACCCAGACCGCCAGCUAAGGUCCCAAAGUCAUGGUUAAGUGGGAAACGAUGUGGGAAGGCCCAGACAGCCAGGAUGUUGGCUUAGAAGCAGCCAUCAUUUAAAGAAAGCGUAAUAGCUCACUGGUCGAGUCGGCCUGCGCGGAAGAUGUAACGGGGCUAAACCAUGCACCGAAGCUGCGGCAGCGACACUCAGGUGUUGUUGGGUAGGGGAGCGUUCUGUAAGCCUGCGAAGGUGGCCUGUGAGGGUUGCUGGAGGUAUCAGAAGUGCGAAUGCUGACAUAAGUAACGAUAAAGCGGGUGAAAAGCCCGCUCGCCGGAAGACCAAGGGUUCCUGUCCAACGUUAAUCGGGGCAGGGUGAGUCGACCCCUAAGGCGAGGCCGAAAGGCGUAGUCGAUGGGAAACGGGUUAAUAUUCCCGUACUUGGUGUUACUGCGAAGGGGGGACGGAGAAGGCUAUGUUGGCCGGGCGACGGUUGUCCCGGUUUAAGCGUGUAGGUGUGUGUUCCAGGUAAAUCCGGUUCACUUUAACACUGAGGCGUGACGACGAGGCACUACGGUGCUGAAGCAACAAAUGCCCUGCUUCCAGGAAAAGCCUCUAAGCAUCAGGUAACAUCAAAUCGUACCCCAAACCGACACAGGUGGUCAGGUAGAGAAUACCAAGGCGCUUGAGAGAACUCGGGUGAAGGAACUAGGCAAAAUGGUGCCGUAACUUCGGGAGAAGGCACGCUGACACGUAGGUGAAGUGAUUUACUCAUGGAGCUGAAGUCAGUCGAAGAUACCAGCUGGCUGCAACUGUUUAUUAAAAACACAGCACUGUGCAAACACGAAAGUGGACGUAUACGGUGUGACGCCUGCCCGGUGCCGGAAGGUUAAUUGAUGGGGUCAGCGCAAGCGAAGCUCCUGAUCGAAGCCCCGGUAAACGGCGGCCGUAACUAUAACGGUCCUAAGGUAGCGAAAUUCCUUGUCGGGUAAGUUCCGACCUGCACGAAUGGCGUAAUGAUGGCCAGGCUGUCUCCACCCGAGACUCAGUGAAAUUGAACUCGCUGUGAAGAUGCAGUGUACCCGCGGCAAGACGGAAAGACCCCGUGAACCUUUACUAUAGCUUGACACUGAACAUUGAGCCUUGAUGUGUAGGAUAGGUGGGAGGCUUUGAAGUGUGGACGCCAGUCUGCAUGGAGCCGACCUUGAAAUACCACCCUUUAAUGUUUGAUGUUCUAACGUGGACCCGUAAUCCGGGUUGCGGACAGUGUCUGGUGGGUAGUUUGACUGGGGCGGUCUCCUCCUAAAGAGUAACGGAGGAGCACGAAGGUUGGCUAAUCCUGGUCGGACAUCAGGAGGUUAGUGCAAUGGCAUAAGCCAGCUUGACUGCGAGCGUGACGGCGCGAGCAGGUGCGAAAGCAGGUCAUAGUGAUCCGGUGGUUCUGAAUGGAAGGGCCAUCGCUCAACGGAUAAAAGGUACUCCGGGGAUAACAGGCUGAUACCGCCCAAGAGUUCAUAUCGACGGCGGUGUUUGGCACCUCGAUGUCGGCUCAUCACAUCCUGGGGCUGAAGUAGGUCCCAAGGGUAUGGCUGUUCGCCAUUUAAAGUGGUACGCGAGCUGGGUUUAGAACGUCGUGAGACAGUUCGGUCCCUAUCUGCCGUGGGCGCUGGAGAACUGAGGGGGGCUGCUCCUAGUACGAGAGGACCGGAGUGGACGCAUCACUGGUGUUCGGGUUGUCAUGCCAAUGGCACUGCCCGGUAGCUAAAUGCGGAAGAGAUAAGUGCUGAAAGCAUCUAAGCACGAAACUUGCCCCGAGAUGAGUUCUCCCUGAGACUUAGAGUCUCCUGAAGGAACGUUGAAGACGACGACGUUGAUAGGCCGGGUGUGUAAGCGCAGCGAUGCGUUGAGCUAACCGGUACUAAUGAACCGUGAGGCUUAACCUU